UAGGGAAUCUUCGGCAAUGGGGGGAACCCUGACCGAGCAACGCCGCGUGAGUGAAGAAGGUUUUCGGAUCGUAAAGCUCUGUUGUUAAGGAAGAACGAGUGUGAGAAUGGAAAGUUCAUACUGUGACGGUACUUAACCAGAAAGGGACGGCUAACUACGUGCCAGCAGCCGCGGUAAUACGUAGGUCCCGAGCGUUGUCCGGAUUUAUUGGGCGUAAAGCGAGCGCAGGCGGUUAGAUAAGUCUGAAGUUAAAGGCAGUGGCUCAACCAUUGUAGGCUUUGGAAACUGUUUAACUUGAGUGCAGAAGGGGAGAGUGGAAUUCCAUGUGUAGCGGUGAAAUGCGUAGAUAUAUGGAGGAACACCGGUGGCGAAAGCGGCUCUCUGGUCUGUAACUGACGCUGAGGCUCGAAAGCGUGGGGAGCGAACAGGAUUAGAUACCCUGGUAGUCCACGCCGUAAACGAUGAGUGCUAGGUGUUAGGUCCUUUCCGGGACUUAGUGCCGCAGCUAACGCAUUAAGCACUCCGCCUGGGGAGUACGACCGCAAGGUUG
rnacentral:rRNA from 1 species